rnacentral:rRNA from 1 species
AGAAUCAACGCUGGCGGCGUGCCUCAGACAUGCAAGUCGAACGCGAAAGUCCCCUUCGGGGGGCAAGUAGAGUGGCGCACGGGUGAGUAACACGUAGGUAAUCUACCUUUGGAUGGGGAAUAACAACCGGAAACGGUUGCUAAUACCGCAUAAUGCAGCGGCACCUAAUGGUGACAGUUGUUAAAGCGGGGGAUCGAAAGACCUCGCGUCUGAAGAGGAGCCUGCGGCGGAUUAGCUAGUUGGUGGGGUAACGGCCUACCAAGGCUACGAUCCGUA